UACGUAGGUGGCAAGCGUUGUUCGGAAUUAUUGGGCGUAAAGGGCGCGUAGGCGGUCUUGUAAGUCAGCUGUGAAAGCCCGGGGCUCAACCCCGGAGGGUCGGCUGAUACUGCAGGACUGGAGUACGGAAGAGGUAGCUGGAAUUCCUGGUGUAGCGGUGAAAUGCGCAGAUAUCAGGAGGAACACCAAUAGCGAAGGCAGCUCGCUGGGACGGUACUGACGCUGAGGAGCGAAAGUGUGGGGAGCGAACAGG
rnacentral:rRNA from 1 species